rnacentral:rRNA from 1 species
GAUGAACGCUGGCGGCGUGCCUAAUACAUGCAAGUCGAGCGAACAGACGAGGAGCUUGCUCCUCUGACGUUAGCGGCGGACGGGUGAGUAACACGUGGAUAACCUACCUAUAAGACUGGGAUAACUUCGGGAAACCGGAGCUAAUACCGGAUAAUGUAUUGAACCGCGUGGUUCAAUAGUGAAAGACGGUUUUGCUGUCACUUAUAGAUGGAUCCGCGCCGCAUUAGCUAGUUGGUAAGGUAACGGCUUACCAAGGCAACGAUGCGUAGCCGACCUGAGAGGGUGAUCGGCCACCCUGGAACUGAGACACAGCCCAGACACCUACGGGAGGCAGCAGUAGGGAAUCUUCCGCAAUGGGGGAAAGCCUGACGGAGCAACGCCGCGUGAGUGAUGAAGGUCUUCGGAUCGGAAAACUCUGUUAUUAGGGGAGAAGAAAUGUGUAAGUAACUAUGCACGUCUUGACGGUACCUAAUCAGAAAGCCACGGCUAACUACGUG